GGCAGGGUAGCAAAGUGGUAAUGCACCGGUCUGCAAAACCGAUAUUCGUGGGUUCGAUUCCCACCCCUGCCU
rnacentral:tRNA from 1 species